GUUUUCUUAUAUAAAUUAAAAAUGAUUUUUUUCAAGCAUAGUUUAAUAACGUUUACAAUUCUAGUAAAUUUAAUUUGGAUUAUGCCAGCUACUUCAGAAGAUAAAAUAGAAAUUUUAAAAGAGUCUUGUGAAGGUAUUCUUAAAGUUUAUGGAUUUGAAGGUA